AUAUUGCUUAGCUGAUGUGCAC
rnacentral:piRNA from 1 species